rnacentral:rRNA from 1 species
ACGGGUGAGUAACGCGUGGGAACGUACCUUUUGGUUCGGAACAACACAGGGAAACUUGUGCUAAUACCGGAUAAGCCCUUACGGGGAAAGAUUUAUCGCCGAAAGAUCGGCCCGCGUCUGAUUAGCUAGUUGGUGGGGUAAUGGCCCACCAAGGCGACGAUCAGUAGCUGGUCUGAGAGGAUGAUCAGCCACAUUGGGACUGAGACACGGCCCAAACUCCUACGGGAGGCAGCAGUGGGGAAUAUUGGACAAUGGGCGCAAGCCUGAUCCAGCCAUGCCGCGUGAGUGAUGAAGGCCCUAGGGUUGUAAAGCUCUUUUGUGCGGGAAGAUAAUGACGGUACCGCAAGAAUAAGCCCCGGCUAACUUCGUGCCAGCAGCCGCGGUAAUACGAAGGGGGCUAGCGUUGCUCGGAAUCACUGGGCGUAAAGGGUGUGUAGGCGGGUCUUUAAGUCAGGGGUGAAAUCCUGGAGCUCAACUCCAGAACUGCCUUUGAUACUGAAGAUCUUGAGUUCGGGAGAGGUGAGUGGAACUGCGAGU